rnacentral:rRNA from 1 species
CCCCCCCCCCCCCCCGCGGGGGGGGGGCCCCCCCGGGGGGGCGGGGCGCGCCCCCCCGCCCCCCGGGGGGGGGGGGCGGGCCCCGCGCCCCCCGGGUGUUCCCCUUUCUUGUCCCGGCGCGUGUCCUUCGGCGCGUGACAACAGAGACGCCUUGUGGCGCUUAGGUGUCUCCCCCCAUGAGUGGUUGCGGGUGAAGAAGCGCGGCAGGAGCUCGACGCGGUGCGGGCGCACGGAUGCACUCCGUGGCCCAGCGCCGCCUUGUCUUCGUUGGCUGCGCAAGCCCCGUGGGAGUGCAUGACGGUUCGCGGCGAGUAGAUCGGUCACCCACCCGACCCGUCUUGAAACACGGACCAAGGAGUCUAACAUGUGUGCGAGUCAAUGGGGCUCGAAUAAGCCCAGAGGCGCAAUGAAAGCGAAGGCCGGAGGACUCCGGCCGUGUCGGGAUCCCCGCUCCUUUGCGUGCGGGGCGCACCGACGACCCGCCCCGUUCCACUCGUGGAUGAGGCGGAGUCCGAGCGCACACGUUGGGACCCGAAAGUUGGUGAACUAUGCCCGGGCAGAACGAAGCCAGAGGAAACUCUGGUGGAGGUUCGUCGCGAUUCUGACGUGCAAAUCGAUCGUCAGAUCCAGGUCUAGGCGUGUAAAAUUAAUCGCC